UACAGAGGUCUCAAGCGUUGUUCGGAUCCAUUGGGCGUAAAGGGUGCGUAGGUGGCGCGGUAAGUCGGGUGUGAAAUCUCGGAGCUUAACUCCGAAAUUGCAUUCGAUACUGCCGUGCUUGAGGACUGGAGAGGAGACUGGAAUUCAUGGUGUAGCAGUGAAAUGCGUAGAGAUCAUGAGGAAGACCAGUGGCGAAGGCGAGUCUCUGGACAGUUCCUGACACUGAGGCACGAAGGCCAGGGGAGCAAACGGG
rnacentral:rRNA from 1 species